CUUAUAUAGGAACCAACAAGCCCCGUGUACAAAAAGAGACCAGGAGCAGGGACACCGCAUCCCGGUGGACCGCCGUUUAUCAUUCGGGAAAACACAUAAGCGCGAGCUCAGAGCACGAGCGCCAAUAUCACUGAUAUCACGAGACACAACUGUUGAUACCGUAAGAAGUGUCAACUGACAAAUCCUCCCCCCGUGGCGGGUGCUGAGGCAUCACGUUAACUCAACGUUACGUGACCGGCGAGUUAAACGUCUAAAAAGGACUCAAAAGUUUCGGGACGCCACAGAGGUGGUUUCAGGUCAUGCGGCCGGCUACAUCUGGAGUGUCUCUGGCUCCUGGACUACCUGUGGAGGUGGAUGACUGCAUUCAUGGAGGCUUCAAGUCAUUCUCAUAGCGCUCGGCCACUGUCUUCAAUGUACGGAUGGCAUCACUGCUGAGAAACCGUCUGGCACACCGUCUUACCCGGGGGGGGGCUCGGGGAUUACAUGCGCUGCGUACACGUUAAAGCCUCUAAACCCUCGCCUCCGCAGAGCUGAUCAGACUGCACAAUCACCCCCCCUCGCUCUCAGCUCCACUGCAUCGUCCACGAGGCCUACGAUCUCCGGAGAUGCCAGGCUGCCUACG